rnacentral:lncRNA from 1 species
GUUUACUGGCAGUUGGGUCCCUUCAGUCUGUGAAUUGUAAGUCCAAUAACUCUAUAUCUGCAGGGUGAACACCAGCCAUCCAAGGUAGUAUAAAAUGUAGGUAUGAAAUGGCAAUGACUCUUUGCAUAGCCAAUUUCAGUCUAAGGACUCUGAACUUAGAACGAAGCAGCCCAAUUGCCAACCAAGAAACACACCAAAUGGACUUCUUUAAAUUAAAUAUUUUUUAAAAAGAAACCUAAUUGGAAAGGACAAAAUAUUUGUCAAAAAGACAGUUUAAGUAAAAGACAAAUACAAGAAAAUAAGGUAUCUUAAUCGAAGCUAACAAGACAGUGUAACAAGAUUUCUGAGCUAGUGCAGAAUGCCUUUCUUACCAGCAGCAUGCCAUGCUGAAUCUCCAAAUAACCGGUGUGGCGAUCUCCCUUUGCGCCCCUUAUUUCUUUGGGCUCCACAAAGGUAAACUCGCCCUUUUUCGCUGCCACCAGGUAUUAUCCUAAUACCAAUUCAAGUCCCACACACAGGAGCUGCUCAUAUAACUUAGUAAUCAGGGGUUUUGAUCAAAUAUUCUUUUAUUAAUGAACAAAUAAAAAGGAAAAUCAAUAUAUAACUGUUUCAGGUGUGCAUAUAUCAGAUCAUGUAUUCAAUCACUGGUUUUCAGAACUAUUAUAUGUUUUAAAUCGAUAUAUCUCAUGUUAAGCUUAAAUGUUCAUUCCUGCUUGUUCAAUAUGAUGUAAACUGUUCAAUUUCCUUUCCUAACCCCUUUAAUCUAUUCCUAACCCCUAACACUCUCUCAAUAUCUUCUGGUCCCUGACUCUCUCUAUUCCUGUCUCAUUCCAACUGUCCCUAACUGUUCCUUUCAACUGUCUUAACUGUCCUUUUUGCUCUGCCCCUCCUGCUCUAUCCUCUGAUUGACAGGCAGGAAUGAUGUCAUCUUUUGGAUUCCGCUACAACCGGUCUCCUCAAACCAAGGAACUGGACUAACUUUACACCCUGUUGUAUGGAUUUUUGGCUACCUUCUCUAGCCAAAAAAUUAAGUUUCCCACCAAACUCUCUGUCCUUAACCCAACCCUCCCACCACUUUCUGGUGACUUGUGAUGGAACCAGCCUAGUGCUAUGGAGCUAGAACCCUUUACCUUUUUGGCAGUAUUUAGACUUGUUUCUGGAUUCCUUCACAAGCAAUAACAACAAAAUGCAAGUAUUGUGGUACCUGUAAAAUUAACAAACUUAGUGUGAACUUUUGUGGAUUACAAUUCACUUCUUCAGAGCCGUGGGAAGAUUGAUUUGGCCACUGCAAUUCAUGCCUUAAUUCACUGGUUCUCAACCUUGAGAAUGUUCUUGGACUACAACUCCCAUAAAUCCUGGCCAGCAUAGCUAGUGUUGAAGGCUUUUGGAAGUUUUAAUCUGGGAACAUCUGGGAACCCAAGCAUGAGAAACAU